GACAGAGGGGGCAAGCGUUGCUCGGAAUUACUGGGCGUAAAGGGCGCGUCGGCGGGAUGGUAAGUCGGUCGUGAAAUCCCUCGGCUCAACCGAGGAACGUCGAUCGAUACUACCGUUCUUGAGGAUUGCAGAGGAGACUGGAAUUCCCGGUGUAGCGGUGAAAUGUGUAGAGAUCGGGAGGAACACCGGUGGCGAAGGCGGCUCACUGGACCGGAACUGACGCUGAGGCGCGAAAGCGUGGGGAGCAAACAGG
rnacentral:rRNA from 1 species